rnacentral:rRNA from 1 species
CCUACGGGUGGCAGCAGUGAGGAAUAUUGGUCAAUGGGCGCGAGCCUGAACCAGCCAAGUAGCGUGAAGGAUGACUGCCCUACGGGUUGUAAGCUUUUUUUGUAAAGGAAUAAAGUGAGGCACGUGUGCCUUUUUGUAUGUACUUUAUGAAUAAGGAUCGGCUAACUCCGUGCCAGCAGCCGCGGUAAUACGGAGGAUCCGGGCGUUAUCCGGAUUUAUGGGGUUUAAAGGGAGCGUAGAUGGGUUGGUAAGUCAGUGGUGAAAGUUUGCGGCUCAACCGUAAAAUUGCAAUUGAGACUGGUAGUCUUGAGUACUGUUGAGGUAGGCGGAAUUCGUGGUGUAGCGGUGAAAUGCUUAGAUAUCACGAAGAACUCCGAUUGCGAAGGCAGCUUACUAAACUGCCACUGACAUUGAUGCUCGAAAGUGUGGGUAUCAAACAGGAUUAGAUACCCUUGUAGUC